rnacentral:rRNA from 1 species
UACGUAGGGUGCGAGCGUUAAUCGGAAUUACUGGGCGUAAAGCGUGCGCAGGCGGUUCGCCAAGUCCGGUGUGAAAUCCCCGGGCUUAACCUGGGAAUUGCGCUUGAAACUAGCGGGCUUGAGUGUGGCAGAGGGGGGUGGAAUUCCACGUGUAGCAGUGAAAUGCGUAGAGAUGUGGAGGAACACCGAUGGCGAAGGCAGCCCCCUGGGUCAACACUGACGCUCAUGCACGAAAGCGUGGGGAGCAAACAGG